rnacentral:rRNA from 1 species
GAUGAACGCUGGCGGCGUGCCUAAUACAUGCAAGUCGAGCGAACGGACGAGAAGCUUGCUUCUCUGAUGUUAGCGGCGGACGGGUGAGUAACACGUGGAUAACCUACCUAUAAGACUGGGAUAACUUCGGGAAACCGGAGCUAAUACCGGAUAAUAUUUUGAACCGCAUGGUUCAAAAGUGAAAGACGGUCUUGCUGUCACUUAUAGAUGGAUCCGCGCUGCAUUAGCUAGUUGGUAAGGUAAAGGCUUACCAAGGCAACGAUGCAUAGCCGACCUGAGAGAGUGAACGGCCACACGGGAACUGAGACACAGUCCAGAGUCCUGCGAGAGGCAGCAGUAGGGAAUCUUCCGCAAUGGGCGAGAACCUGGCGGAGCAACGCCGCGGGAGUGACGAAGGUCUUCGGAUCGUAAAACUCUGUUAUUGGGGAAGAACCUAUGUCGAAGUAACUGUGCACAGCUUGACGGUACCGAAUCAGAAAGCCACGGCUAACUACGUG